rnacentral:rRNA from 1 species
CAGUCGCCGCGGUAAUACGAAGGGGGCUAGCGUUGCUCGGAAUGACUGGGCGUAAAGGGCGCGUAGGCGGAUGGCACAGUCAGAUGUGAAAUUCCCGGGCUUAACCUGGGGGCUGCAUUUGAUACGUGUUGUCUAGAGUGAGGAAGAGGGUCGUGGAAUUCCCAGUGUAGAGGUGAAAUUCGUAGAUAUUGGGAAGAACACCGGUGGCGAAGGCGGCGACCUGGUCCUUUACUGACGCUGAGGCGCGAAAGCGUGGGGAGCGAACAGGAUUAGAUACCCCCGUAGUCCCUGUCUCUUAUAC